rnacentral:rRNA from 1 species
GUUAUAUGGUCAAGCGACCAAGCGUAUACGGUGGAUGCCUUGGCGGUCAGAGGCGAUGAAGGACGUGGCAGCCUGCGAAAAGUGUCGGGGAGCUGGCAACAAGCUUUGAUCCGGCAAUGUCCGAAUGGGGAAACCCACUGCUUAGGCAGUAUCCCGUACUGAAUACAUAGGUACGGGAAGCGAACCCGGGGAACUGAAAUAUCUAAGUACCCGGAGGAAAAGAAAUCAACCGAGAUUCCGUCAGUAGCGACGAGCGAACGCGGACUAGCCCAAAAGCGCACAGUGUUUUAGUCGAAUGGUGUGGAAAAGCCAGCCAUAGCGGGUGAUAGCCCCGUAGGCGAAAGGGCACCGUGCGUGAAAUUGAGUAAGGCGGGGCACGUGAAACCCUGUCUGAACAUGGGGGGACCAUCCUCCAAGGCUAAAUACUCCUGACCGACCGAUAGCGAACAAGUACCGUGAGGGAAAGGCGAAAAGAACCCCGGAGAGGGGAGUGAAAUAGAUCCUGAAACCGUAUACGUACAAGCAGUGGAAGCCCGCAAGGGUGACUGCGUACCUUUUGUAUAAUGGGUCAGCGACUUACUGUCAGUGGCGAGCUUAACCGUCUAGGGGAGGCGAAGGGAAACCGAGUCUGAAUAGGGCGCAUAGUCUCUGGCAGUAGACCCGAAACCGAGUGAUCUAUCCUUGGCCAGGUUGAAGGUGCGGUAACACGCACUGGAGGACCGAACCCACAUCU